CUCUGACCGUGCGAAGGUAGCGCAAUCAAUUGUUCUUUAAAUGAGGACCAGAAUCAACGGCAUCACGAGGAUCCUACUGUCUCCCCCCUCUAAUCAGUGAAAUUGAUCUCCCCGUGAAGAAGCGGGGAUAUAAAUAUAAGACGAGAAGACCCCAUGGAGCUUUAAACCCAACAACACCUAUCUAUUUUAUUCCCCCAUAUUUAUACGGUUAUGUUUGUUUGGUUUUAGGUUGGGGUGACCGCGGAGUAUAAAACAACCUCCACGAAGAAAAGACUAAUAAUCUUUAUCAGAGAAAGACAUUUCUAAGAAAUAAUAUAUUAACUUUAAAUGAUCCGAUAUUC
rnacentral:rRNA from 1 species